UUCUGGCUCAGGACGAACGCUGGCGGCGUGCUCAUACAUGCAAGUCGAACGAGAAGCUGACUUCGGUCAGUGGAAAGUGGCGGACGGGUGAGUAAUGUGUAGAGAAUCUGCCCUAGAGAGGGGGACAACAGUUGGAAACGACUGCUAAUACCCCAUAUGAGCGUAGCUGAAAUGCUAUUCUUGAAAACUCCGGUGCUCUGGGAUGAGUCUGCAUCUGAUUAGCUAGUAGGCGGUGUAAUGGACCACCUAGGCGACGAUCAGUAGCUGGUUUGAGAGGAUGAUCAGCCACAAUGGGACUGAGACACGGCCCAUACUCCUACGGGAGGCAGCAGUAGGGAAUUUUGCGCAAUGGGGGAAACCCUGAACCGCAGCAACGCCGCGUGAAUGAAGAAGCCCUUCGGGGUGUAAAGUUCUGUCAGUGGGGACGAAACUUGACGGUACCCACAGAGGAAGCAUCGGCUAACUCCGUGCCAGCCGCCGC
rnacentral:rRNA from 1 species